GGGGGGUGCAAGCGUUAUUCGGAUUUAUUGGGCGUAAAGAGCGCGUAGGCGGUUUAUCAAGUCAGAUGUGAAAGCCCUGGGCUCAACCUGGGAAGUGCAUUUGAAACUAGUAGACUUGAGUAUGGGAGAGGGGAGUGGAAUUCCUGGUGUAGAGGUGAAAUUCGUAGAUAUCAGGAGGGACACCGGUGGCGAAGGCGACUUCCUGGACCAAUACUGACGCUGAGGCGCGAAGGCGUGGGGAGCAAACAGGAUUAGAUACCCUGGUAGUCCACGCAGUAAACGGUGAUCACUAGGUGUAGCGGGUAUUGACCCCUGCUGUGCCGCAGUUAACGCAUUAAGUGAUCCGCCUGGGGAGUACGAUCGCAAGGUUA
rnacentral:rRNA from 1 species